CUGGACUAUGGCAAUGGAGCUUGCCACAACCGCCAUUGGAUCUUGACAUGCCCUCAACUGGGUUGCCAACGUCGAUGGAUGAUGGCUCCUACUUUCCC
rnacentral:ncRNA from 2 species